rnacentral:rRNA from 1 species
GAACGCGAAGAACCUUACCUGGGCUUGAACUGCUGGAGGUAGGAGCCCGAAAGGGUAACGACCCGGAGCAAUCCGGGAACCAGCAGAGGUGCUGCAUGGCUGUCGUCAGCUCGUGUCGUGAGAUGUUGGGUUAAGUCCCGCAACGAGCGCAACCCUUACCCUUAGUUGCCAGCGGGUAAUGCCGGGCACUCUAAGGGGACCGCCCCGGAUAACGGGGAGGAAGGCGGGGAUGACGUCAAGUCAGCAUGGCCUUUAUGUCCAGGGGCUACACACGUGCUACAAUGGGCGGUACAGAGGGAGGCAAAGCCGCGAGGUAGAGCUAAUCCCUAAAGCCGUCCUCAGUUCGGAUCGCAGGCUGCAACUCGCCUGCGUGAAGUCGGAAUCGCUAGUAAUCGCGGAUCAGCUACGCCGCGGUGAAUACGUUCUCGGGGCCUUGUACACACCG